AAUCCAUAGGUUAAUGAGGCGAACCGGGGGAACUGAAACAUCUAAGUACCCCGAGGAAAAGAAAUCAACCGAGAUUCCCCCAGUAGCGGCGAGCGAACGGGGAGGAGCCCAGAGCCUGAAUCAGCAUGUGUGUUAGUGGAAGCGUCUGGAAAGGCGCGCGAUACAGGGUGACAGCCCCGUACACAAAAGCGCAUGUGCUGUGAGCUCGAUGAGUAGGGCGGGACACGUGGUAUCCUGUCUGAAUAUGGGGGGACCAUCCUCCAAGGCUAAAUACUCCUGACUGACCGAUAGUGAACCAGUACCGUGAGGGAAAGGCGAAAAGAACCCCGGCGAGGGGAGUGAAAAAGAACCUGAAACCGUGUACGUACAAGCAGUGGGAGCCCCACCACCAAAGCGUUUCGCUUUGUGUGGUGCACAAAGAAGCGUAACGACAGCACUGAAUGACGGUUAACGGAGCGCAAGCGACGUUCAACAUACAAAGUCAAGCAGUGGAGCGCUUUGGGGUGGGGUGACUGCGUACCUUUUGUAUAAUGGGUCAGCGACUUAUAUUCUGUAGCAAGGUUAACCGAAUAGGGGAGCCGGAGGGAAACCGAGUCUUAAUUGGGCGUUAAGUUGCAGGGUAUAGACCCGAAACCCGGUGAUCUAGCCAUGGGCAGGUUGAAGGUUGGGUAACACUAACUGGAGGACCGAACCGACUAAUGUUGAAAAAUUAGCGGAUGACCUGUGGCUGGGGGUGAAAGGCCAAUCAAACCGGGAGAUAGCUGGUUCUCCCCGAAAGCUAUUUAGGUAGCGCCUCGUGAAUUCAUCUCCGGGGGUAGAGCACUGUUUCGGCUAGGGGGC
rnacentral:rRNA from 1 species